AUUGAACGCUGGCGGCAUGCUUUACACAUGCAAGUCGGACGAGUGGCGAACGGGUGAGUAACAUCUCGGAACGUGCCGAGUAAUGGGGGAUAACUACUCGAAAGCUUAGCUAAUACCGCAUAUUAUUCGAGCGGCCCAUAUGUGAUUAGCUAGUUGGUGGGGUAAAGGCUUACCAAGGCGACGAUCAUUAGCGGGGCUGAGAGGAUGACCAGCCACACGGGGACUGAGAAACGGCCCAGACUCCUACGGGAGGCAGCAGUGGGGAAGUUUGGACAAGGGGCGCAAGCCUGAGCCAGCCAUGCCGCGUGUAUGAAGAAGGCCUUCGGGUUGUAAAGUACUUUUGUCAGGGAAGCGGUACCUGAAGAAUAAGCACCGGCUAACUACGUGCCAGCAGCCGCGGUAAUAC
rnacentral:rRNA from 1 species